AGAGUUUGAUCCUGGCUCAGAACGAACGCUGGCGGCGUGGAUAAGACAUGCAAGUCGAACGAGAGAAUUGCUAGCUUGCUAAUAAUUCUCUAGUGGCGCACGGGUGAGUAACACGUGAGUAACCUGCCCCCGAGAGCGGGAUAGCCCUGGGAAACUGGGAUUAAUACCGCAUAGUAUCGAAAGAUUAAAGCAGCAAUGCGCUUGGGGAUGGGCUCGCGGCCUAUUAGUUAGUUGGUGAGGUAACGGCUCACCAAGGCGAUGACGGGUAGCCGGUCUGAGAGGAUGUCCGGUUACACUGGAACUGAGACACGGUCCAGACACCUACGGGUGGCAGCAGUCGAGAAUCAUUCACAAUGGGGGAAACCCUGAUGGUGCGACGCCGCGUGGGGGAAUGAAGGUCUUCGGAUUGUAAACCCCUGUCAUGUGGGAGCAAAUUAAAAAGAUAGUACCACAAGAGGAAGAGACGGCUAACUCUGUGCCAGCAGCCGCGGUAAUACAGAGGUCUCAAGCGUUGUUCGGAAUCACUGGGCGUAAAGCGUGCGUAGGCUGUUUCGUAAGUCGUGUGUGAAAGGCGCGGGCUCAACCCGCGGACGGCACAUGAUACUGCGAGACUAGAGUAAUGGAGGGGGAACCGGAAUUCUCGGUGUAGCAGUGAAAUGCGUAGAUAUCGAGAGGAACACUCGUGGCGAAGGCGGGUUCCUGGACAUUAACUGACGCUGAGGCACGAAGGCCAGGGGAGCGAAAGGGAUUAGAUACCCCUGUAGUCCUGGCAGUAAACGGUGCACGCUUGGUGUGCGGGGAAUCGACCCCCUGCGUGCCGGAGCUAACGCGUUAAGCGUGCCGCCUGGGGAGUACGGUCGCAAGAUUAAAACUCAAAGAAAUUGACGGGGACCCGCACAAGCGGUGGAGUAUGUGGCUUAAUUCGAUGCAACGCGAAGAACCUUGCCUGGGCUUGACAUGUAAUGAACAACAUGUGAAAGCAUGCGACUCUUCGGAGGCGUUACACAGGUGCUGCAUGGCCGUCGUCAGCUCGUGUCGUGAGAUGUUUGGUUAAGUCCAGCAACGAGCGCAACCCCUGUUGCCAGUUACCAGCACGUGAAGGUGGGGACUCUGGCGAGACUGCCCAGAUCAACUGGGAGGAAGGUGGGGACGACGUCAGGUCAGUAUGGCCCUUAUGCCCAGGGCUGCACACGUACUACAAUGCCCAGUACAGAGGGGGCCGAAGCCGCGAGGCGGAGGAAAUCCUAAAAACUGGGCCCAGUUCGGACUGUAGGCUGCAACCCGCCUACACGAAGCCGGAAUCGCUAGUAAUGGCGCAUCAGCUACGGCGCCGUGAAUACGUUCCCGGGUCUUGUACUCACCGCCCGUCACA
rnacentral:rRNA from 1 species